rnacentral:tRNA from 1 species
GACAGUGUGGCAUCAUGGUUUGAGUGUUGGAGUAUGACUCUGGAGACCAGGGUUCGAUUCCCAGCUUGGCCA